rnacentral:rRNA from 1 species
UACGGAGGGUGCAAGCGUUAUCCGGAUUCACUGGGUUUAAAGGGUGCGUAGGUGGGUUGAUAAGUCAGUGGUGAAAUCCCCGAGCUUAACUUGGGAACUGCCGUUGAUACUAUUGAUCUUGAAUACCGUGGAGGUCAGCGGAAUAUGUCAUGUAGCGGUGAAAUGCUUAGAUAUGACAUAGAACACCAAUUGCGAAGGCAGCUGGCUACGCGAAUAUUGGACACUGAUGCACGAAAGCGUGG